GGAUGAAUAUUGGUCAAUGGGAGGAAUCCUGAACCAGCCAUGCCGCGUGCAGGACGACGGCUCUACGAGUUGUAAACUGCUUUUGUACCGGGGUAAAAUGCUCUACGUGUAGAGUUUUGAAAGUACGGUACGAAUAAGGAUCGGCUAACUCCGUGCCAGCAGCCGCGGUAAUACGGAGGAUCCGAGCGUUAUCCGGAUUCAUUGGGUUUAAAGGGUGCGUAGGUUGUUUUAUAAGUUAGCGGUGAAAUACCGAUGCUCAACAUCGGGGCUGCCGCUAAUACUGUAGGACUAGAGAUCGGAUGCAGCAGGCGGAAUGUGUAGUGUAGCGGUGAAAUGCAUAGAUAUUACACAGAACACCGAUUGCGAAGGCAGCUUGCUAGGCCGGAUCUGACACUGAUGCACGAAAGCGUGGGGAUCGAACAGGAUUAGAUACCC
rnacentral:rRNA from 1 species